UGAGUUGGUACACGGCCCGUACCCCAAACCGACACAGGUGGUCAGGUAGAGAAUACCGAGGCGAUCGAGAGAACUGUGGUUAAGGAACUCGGCAAAAUGCCCCCGUAACUUCGGGAGAAGGGGGACCUGAUCUGGUGACGAGACUUGCUCUCGGAGCUGGGUUGGGUCGCAGAGACCAGAGAGAAGCGACUGUUUACUAAAAACACAGGUCCGUGCGAAGUCGUAAGACGAUGUAUACGGACUGACGCCUGCCCGGUGCCGGAAGGUUAAGAGGACCGGU
rnacentral:rRNA from 1 species